rnacentral:rRNA from 1 species
GCAGCACGGGGGCAACCCUGGUGGCGAGUGGCGAACGGGUGAGUAAUAUAUCGGAACGUGCCCAGUAGUGGGGGAUAACUAGUCGAAAGAUUAGCUAAUACCGCAUACGCACUACGGUGGAAAGCGGGGGAUCGUAAGACCUCGCGCUAUUGGAGCGGCCGAUAUCUGAUUAGCUAGUUGGUGGGGUAAAAGCCUACCAAGGCGACGAUCAGUAGCUGGUCUGAGAGGACGACCAGCCACACUGGGACUGAGACACGGCCCAGACUCCUACGGGAGGCAGCAGUGGGGAAUUUUGGACAAUGGGGGCAACCCUGAUCCAGCCAUGCCGCGUGUGUGAAGAAGGCCUUCGGGUUGUAAAGCACUUUUGUCAGGAACGAAACGGUCUGCACUAAUACUGCGGACUAAUGACGGUACCUGAAGAAUAAGCACCGGCUAACUACGUGCCAGCAGCCGCGGUAAUACGUAGGGUGCAAGCGUUAAUCGGAAUUACUGGGCGUAAAGCGUGCGCAGGCGGUUGUGUAAGACAGAUGUGAAAUCCCCGGGCUUAACCUGGGAACUGCAUUUGUGACUGCACGGCUAGAGUGUGUCAGANGGGGGGUAGAAUUCCACGUGUAGCAGUGAAAUGCGUAGAGAUGUGGAGGAAUACCGAUGGCGAAGGCAGCCCCCUGGGAUAACACUGACGCUCAUGCACGAAAGCGUGGGGAGCAAACAGGANUAGAUACCCUGNNANUCCACGCCCUAAACGAUGUCUACUAGUUGUCGGGUCUUUAUUGACUUGGNAACGCAGCUAACGCGUGAAGUANACCGCCUGGGGAGUACGGUCGCAAGAUUAAAACUCAAAGGAAUUGACGGGGACCCGCACAAGCAGUG